GUGCCAGCAGCCGCCGCGGUAAUACGUAGGGUGCGAGCGUUAAUCGGAAUUACUGGGCGUAAAGCGUGCGCAGGCGGUGAUGUAAGACAGUCGUGAAAUCCCCGGGCUCAACCUGGGAAUUGCGAUUGUGACUGCAUCGCUGGAGUGCGGCAGAGGGGGAUGGAAUUCCACGUGUAGCAGUGAAAUGCGUAGAUAUGCGGAGGAACACCGAUGGCGAAGGCAAUCCCCUGGGCUAAAACUGACGCUGAGGUACGAAAGCGUGGGUAGCAAGCAGGAUUAGAUACCCUGGUAGUCCACGCCG
rnacentral:rRNA from 1 species